GUUGUAAGAUGUUAUUGGUCUUCGCUCGUCUCAACGGUCACACCGUAAACAUAUUAUUUGUCAUAUUCAUGUUUACGAAAACAAGAUUUGUUGAAUGCUGAUAGACUACACAUUCUCUUAAUAUUUUUUUCACUAGAAUUAUGUCCAAGGUAUCAUUGAACGGGCACGAGAUAUCCUACGAGAGGAAGAGGCCUAGAGGCGAGAUCGAGGAUUACAGUAGAGAGCAAGGCAGACUUGGAAGGGAAGAAGAAAUGUUAGGAAAUCACGAAGAACGAAGACCUCAUUGGCAAAGAUCAUGGAGAAUUACAGAAUAUGCAGUCUGCUUUAAGUCUGGAAGAUAGGGAAGAUUUCUUUGUUCCAAGGAAACUGUUCUUCUUCAAGAUUGACACCUUCAAUUUCAAACCAAGUCCACAGAGCGAGGGUCAAAUCUCUGAGACAAACGUCGAUGUCCAGUAUCACAGACCUUCUACCUCCGCACAAGAUUGCACUCCGGGUGAAAAGGUCACUCGUGGUAAAGGAAACCGCUCUUGGAGGAAACGGGUCCUUAGAUUCUUCGGGUUUCAGUAAAGUUGGAACCAUAUGUUGCAGUUUAAAUAAACAUCAAAGAAACUUUACUGAAAACACGAGAACAAUUAAAGAUAUUGAUAUUAAAUUUGUUGAUCAACAAUGAA